rnacentral:rRNA from 1 species
GGGGACUCCACGUGCAGAGGGCAUAUCGCCUNGCGCUUUUCUGUACUCGUAGGGUAGUACAAAAAAAAGGGCUGGGCAAGACCGGUGCCAGCCGCCGCGGUAAUACCGGCAGCCCGAGUGAUGGCCGAUUUUAUUGGGCCUAAAGCGUCCGUAGCCGGCCUCGCAAGUCCGUCGGGAAAUCCAUCCGCUCAACGGAUGGGCGUCCGGCGGAAACUGCGAGGCUUGGGACCGGAAGGCUCGAGGGGUACGUCCGGGGUAGGAGUGAAAUCCUGUAAUCCCGAACGGACCACCGAUGGCGAAAGCACCUCGAGAAAACGGAUCCGACGGUGAGGGACGAAAGCUAGGGUCUCGAACCGGAUUAGAUACCCGGGUAGUCCUGGCCGUAAACAAUGCUCGCUAGGUGUGGCACUCGCUACGAGCGAGUGCUGUGCCGUAGGGAAGCCGAUAAGCGAGCCGCCUGGGAAGUACGUCUGCAAGGAUGAAACUUAAAGGAUUGGGGGGGGGGAGCACACAAAAAGGGGG